GAUGAACGCUGGCGGCGUGCCUAAUACAUGCAAGUCGAGCGAACAGACGAGGAGCUUGCUCCUCUGACGUUAGCGGCGGACGGGUGAGUAACACGUGGAUAACCUACCUAUAAGACUGGGAUAACUUCGGGAAACCGGAGCUAAUACCGGAUAAUAUAUUGAACCGCAUGGUUCAAUAGUGAAAGACGGUUUUGCUGUCACUUAUAGAUGGAUCCGCGCCGCAUUAGCUAGUUGGUAAGGUAACGGCUUACCAAGGCAACGAUGCGUAGCCGACCUGAGAGGGGGCCGGCCCACAUGGGAGCGGAACCCCGCCCCAGCCUCCAGCGGGGGGAGCAAGAGGGGAAUCUUCGGCAAGGGGGGAAGAUUUGCCGGAGCACCCCGGGGGGAGGAAUAAGUGUUUUGGAACCUAAAACCUUUUUUAUGGGGAAAAAAAAAUUUUGUAAGUAACAAGGCACGUCUGGAGGGCACCUAAUCAAAAACCCGCGCCAAACUAGGUC
rnacentral:rRNA from 1 species